rnacentral:rRNA from 1 species
AGUACGAAAGGACCAGAUAUUUGAUUUAUUAAAAUUUAUUAUAUGAAUUUGUUUAAUAU